rnacentral:rRNA from 1 species
CCUACGGGGGGCACCAGUGGGGAAUAUUGGACAAUGGGGGGAACCCUGAUCCAGCCAUGCCGCGUGUGUGAAGAAGGCCUUAUGGUUGUAAAGCACUUUAAGCGAGGAGGAGGCUCUUCUAGUUAAUACCUAGGAUGAGUGGACGUUACUCGCAGAAUAAGCACCGGCUAACUCUGUGCCAGCAGCCGCGGUAAUACAGAGGGUGCGAGCGUUAAUCGGAUUUACUGGGCGUAAAGCGUGCGUAGGCGGCUUUUUAAGUCGGAUGUGAAAUCCCCGAGCUUAACUUGGGAAUUGCAUUCGAUACUGGGAAGCUAGAGUAUGGGAGAGGAUGGUAGAAUUCCAGGUGUAGCGGUGAAAUGCGUAGAGAUCUGGAGGAAUACCGAUGGCGAAGGCAGCCAUCUGGCCUAAUACUGACGCUGAGGUACGAAAGCAUGGGGAGCAAACAGGAUUAGAUACCCUCGUAGUC